CAAUAACUCUCAUUUUCUGGUUAAAGUGUGUAAUGUUUUGGAUAGAUUGCCUGUUGGUGAUCUUUUGUAUAUGAGCAGAGAUGGAUGUCAUCCUGCAAUUUACAAGUGCUAGCUAAUCAUCUCUGUCCAUACUUUUUUUGGAAUGACUUUAUUGAUUUGUCAGUUAAAAAAUUAAGAGAUUUUAUGGAGAUACCGUUAAGUCUUCAUAUAGAAAAAUGGGUGUGAGAAUUGAAGAAAUAUUGGGAAGGCCUGCAAAGACUUGAUAUAUAAAGGCUUGGCAUCCCUGGAGUCAUCUGCAAAGACUGCGUCCAACUGAACUGUUAUGGGCCUAAUGUGAUCAAAUCAAAGAUCAAGAAUUGCUUGCAUGGUGGACAGGAAGCCUGCGUGUAUCCUCUCUGCGCCAAUAAACUGAAUAUGAUAUUAGCUUGAUAAGUAGUAUUUGAUUGAAAUGUUUAGCUGUAGAAGCUUUGAUGAUAUGCUUUCAACUCAAUCAGAUGCUCAGAAAAUAGUUCGCAUUUU
rnacentral:misc_RNA from 1 species